UCCGUAGGCGGUUUAGUAAGUCAGUGGUGAAAGCCCAUCGCUCAACGGUGGAACGGCCAUUGAUACUGCUAGACUUGAAUUAUUAGGAAGUAACUAGAAUAUGUAGUGUAGCGGUGAAAUGCUUAGAUAUUACAUGGAAUACCAAUUGCGAAGGCAGGUUACUAACAAACGAUUGACGCUGAUGGACGAAAGCGUGGGGAGCGAACAGGAUUAGAUACCCCCGUA
rnacentral:rRNA from 1 species